AGUGAACGCUGGCGGCGUGCUUAACACAUGCAAGUCGAACGAGAACGGGUUAUAGCUUGCUAUAAUUGUCAGCUAAGUGGCGCACGGGUGAGUAAUGUAUAGGUAAUAUGCCUCUUACUAAGGGAUAACAAAUGGAAACGUUUGCUAAUACCUUAUACUCCUUAUUAACAGAAGUUAAUAAGGGAAAGAUUUAUUGGUAAGAGAUUAGCCUGUAUUGUAUCAGUUAGUUGGUGGGGUAAUGGCUUACCAAGACUAUGACACAUAACUGGUUUGAGAGGAUGAUCAGUCACACUGGAACUGAGACACGGUCCAGACUCCUACGGGAGGCAGCAGUGGGGAAUAUUGCACAAUGGACGAAAGUCUGAUGCAGCAACGCCGCGUGGAGGAUGGACACAUUUCGGGUGCGUAAAACUCCUUUUUAUAUAGGAAGAUAAUGACGGUACUAUAUGAAUAAGCACCGGCUAAACUCCGUG
rnacentral:rRNA from 1 species